rnacentral:rRNA from 1 species
CCUACGGGCGGCUGCAGUGGGGAAUAUUGCACAAUGGGCGCAAGCCUGAUGCAGCCACGCCGCGUGUGUGAAGAAGGCCUUCGGGUUGUAAAGCACUUUCAUCGGGGAGGAAGGCGUUCAGGUUAAUAACCUUGGCGAUUGACGUUACCCGCAGAAGAAGCCCCGGCUAACUCCGUGCCAGCAGCCGCGGUAAUACGGAGGGUGCAAGCGUUAAUCGGAAUUACUGGGCGUAAAGCGCACGCAGGCGGUCUGUCAAGUCGGAUGUGAAAUCCCCGGGCUCAACCGGGGAACGGCAUUCGAAACUGGCAGGCUAGAGUGUAGUAGAGGGGGGUAGAAUUCCAGGUGUAGCGGUGAAAUGCGUAGAGAUCUGGAGGAAUACCGGUGGCGAAGGCGGCCCCCUGGACAAAGACUGACGCUCAGGUGCGAAAGCGUGGGGAGCAAACAGGAUUAGAUACCCGUGUAGUC